rnacentral:lncRNA from 1 species
GUAUAUCAUCUGUUGCCUCAGCUGCCAUUACAUGUUCUUCAGGAGCUGCCUCAUCUGCAUGAGCAACAUUGCCUCUUACAUCCUCGGUGAGCUCACUGAUGUUUACAUCAGCGAUCUCGUUGAUUGCUUCAGUUUUCUUGGCUUCAGUCUCCUUCACCUCUUCUGCCGACAGCUCAUUUGCUGAUAUGUUUUCUUCCACUUCAAUAGGUUCAGUAUUCUUGAUUUCUUCUAGGUCUAGCUCUUGUGCUCGUGGGAUAUCAACUGGUGCCUCAGUUGCUAUUACAUGCUCUUCAGGAGCAGCCUCAUCUGCAGGAGCAACAUUGCUUGUCACAUCCUCAGUGAGUUCGCUGAUGUUUGCAUCAGGGCUCUUGUUGAUUGCUUCAGUUUCCUUCACCACUUCUGCUUGCAGGCCACUUGCUGAUCUAUUUUCUUCCACCUCAACUGGUUCAACACUCUUGAUCUCUUCUAGUUCCGGCUCCUGUGCCUGUGGUAUAUCAAAUGUUGUCUCAGCUACUGUUACAUGCUCUGCAUGAGGUUCCUCGUCUGCAGGCACAACGUUGCUUUUCACAUCCUCAUUGAGCUCACUGAUGUUUGCAUCAGUCCUUUUGCUGAUUGCUUCAGUUUCCUUCACCUCUUCUUCUGGCAGGUCACCUGCUUCAGUAUUCUUGAUCUCUUCUAGCUCUGGCUCUUGUGCAUGUGGUAUAUCGACUGUUGUCUCAGCUACUGUUACAUGUUCUUUAUGAGCUGCCUCAUCUGUAAGAGCAAUGUUGCAUUUCAUAUCUUCAGUAAGCUCACUGAUGUUUGCAUCAGUGCUCUCAUUGAUUGCUUCAGUGUCCUUCACCUCUUCUGCCGGUAUGUCACUCGCUGAUGUGUUUUCUUCCACCUCAACAGGUUCAGUAUUCUCGAUCUCUUCUAGUUCUGGUUCUUGUGCUCGUGGAAUAUUAACUGUUCCCUCAGUUGCUAUUAUAUGCUCUUCAUGAGCUGCCUCGUCUGCAGGAUUGACACUGCUUGUCACAUCCUCAAUGAGCUCGCUGAUGUUUGCAUCAAUGCUCUCGUUGAUUGCUUCAGUUUCCUUCACCUCUUCUGCUGGCAAGUUACCUGCUGAUCUGUUCUCCUCCACCUCAACAGGUUCAACAUUCUCAAGAUCCUUUAGUUCCGGCGCUUGUGCUUGUGGUAUAUCAACCGUUGCCUCAGCUGCUAUUACAUGUUCUUCAGGAGCUGCCUCUUCUGCAGGAGUAACAUUGCUUUUCAUAUCCUCAGUGAGCUCACUAAUGCUUGCAUCAGUGCUCUCAUUGAUUGCUUCAGUGUCCUUCACCUUUUCUGCUGGCAGGUCACUUGCUGGUAUGUUUUCUUCCACCUUAACAGGUCUAGUAUUCUGGAUCUCUUCUACUUCUGGCUCUUGUGCUUGUGGUAUAUCGACUGUAUUAUCAGCUACCGUUACAUGUUCUUCAGGAGCUGCCUCGUCUGCAAGAGCAACAUUGCUUUUCACAUCUUCAGUAAGCUCAUUGUUGUUUGCAUCAGUGCUCUCGUUGAUUGCUUCAGUCUCCACGGCUUCACUAUCUUUCACCUCUUCUGCUGGCAGAUCAUUUUCUGAUACAUAUGCUUCCACUUCAGCAGGUUCAGUGUUCUUGGUCUCUUCUAGUUCUGGCUCUUGUGUUCGUGGUAUAUCAACUGUUGCGGCAGUUGCUAUUACAUGUUCUUCAGGAGCUGCCUCGUCUGCACACACGAGAUUGCUUUUCACAUCCUCAGUAAGCUUACUGAUGUUUGCAUCAAUGCUCUCGUUGAAUGCUUCAGUUUCCUUGGCUUCAGUGUCCUUCAUCUCUUCUGCCGGCAUGUCACUAGCUGAUAUGUUUUCUUUCACUUCAACAGGUUCAAUAUUCUUGAUCUCUUCUAGUUCCGGCUCUUGUGCUUGUGCUAUAUCAACUGUUGCCUCAGUUGCUAUUACAUGUUCUUCAGGAGCAGCCUCGUCUGCAAGAGCAACGUUACUUUCCACAUCCUCAGCGAUCUCACUGAAGUUUGCAUCAGUGCUCCCAUUGGUUGCUUCAGUUUCCUUGGCUUCAUUGCCGUUCACCUCUUCUGCCGGCAGGUCACUCGCUGAUAUGUUUUCUUCCACCUCAACAGGUUCAGUAUUCUUGAUCUCUUCUACUUCUGGCUCUUGUGCAUGUGGUAUAUCAACUGUAUCAUCAGCUACUGUUACAUGUUCUUCAGGAGCUGCUUCGUCUGCAAGAGCAACAAUGUUUUUCACAUCUUCAGUGAGCUCACUGUUGUUUGUGUUAGUGCUCUCGUUGAUUGUUUCAGUCUCCAUGGCUUCAGUAUCCUUCACCUCUUCUGCUGGCAGAUCAUUUGCUGAUAUGUUUUCUGCCACUUCAGCAGGUUCAGUAUUCUUGGUCUCUUCUAGUUCUGGCUCUUGUGCUUCUGGUAUAUCAACUGUUGCCUCAGGUGCCAUUACAUGCUCUUCAGGAGCUACCUCCUCUGUAAGGGCAACAUUGUUUUGCACAUCUUCAAUGAGAUCGCUAAUGUUUGCGUCACUGCUCUCAUUGUUUGCUUCAGUUUCCCCCAUCUCUUCUGCAGGCAGGUCGCUUGCUGAUCUAGUUUCUUCCACCUCAACAGGUUCAGUAUUCUUGACCUCUUCUAGUUUCGGCUCUUGUGCUUGUGGUACAUCAACUGUUCUCUCAGCUACUGUUACAUGUUCAUCAUGAGCUGCCUCGUCUGUAAGAGAAACAUUGCUUUGCACAUCUUCAGUGAGCUCACUGUUGUUUGCAUCAGUGCUGUCGUUGAUUGCUUCUGUUUCCACGGUGUCAGUAUCCUUCACAUUUUUCGCUGGCAGAUCACUUGCUGAUGUGUUCCCUUCCACUUCAGCAG